CCUUAGUAACGGCGAGUGAAGCGGCAAAAGCUCAAAUUUGAAAUCUGGCACCUUCGGUGUCCGAGUUGUAAUUUGAAGAAGGUAACUUUGGAGUUGGCUCUUGUCUAUGUUCCUUGGAACAGGACGUCACAGAGGGUGAGAAUCCCGUGCGAUGAGAUGCCCAAUUCUAUGUAAAGUGCUUUCGAAGAGUCGAGUUGUUUGGGAAUGCAGCUCUAAGUGGGUGGUAAAUUCCAUCUAAAGCUAAAUAUUGGCGAGAGACCGAUAGCGAACAAGUACAGUGAUGGAAAGAUGAAAAGAACUUUGAAAAGAGAGUGAAAAAGUACGUGAAAUUGUUGAAAGGGAAGGGCUUGAGAUCAGACUUGGUAUUUUGCGAUCCUUUCCUUCUUGGUUGGGUUCCUCGCAGCUUACUGGGCCAGCAUCGGUUUGGAUGGUAGGAUAAUGACUAAGGAAUGUGGCUCUACUUCGGUGGAGUGUUAUAGCCUUGGUUGAUACUGCCUGUCUAGACCGAGGACUGCGUCUU
rnacentral:rRNA from 1 species